AUUGAUUUCAUGGCAUUUGUAAAAAGUGAAAAAGAGCAUUCGAUAGUUUUGAAAUCACACCAUCAGGGCGAAUUCUAUCGCGCAAUCUUACAACCUUGAUAGAAAGUUGCGAAUUAACAUUUUAGGUGCGGCCUCUGACGUAGCCAAGAGCCCUGACCUUAACGCCACCGGACGGAACGUCUAGCUUUGCCAAAAGCAGUUGAAAGAAAUGUCGCCAAUGUAAUAUAAUUAACAACAUACUAUUCCUUUGUUUGUUAUGGUAGUGUUUAGUGGAUGAAUAAAAUGAUAUGCCAGUAACUUUAUUAAA